AUAACUUGGCCUGGCUAGCACGUUGCGAGGAUCAAAUGAGAUAACACAUGUGAAAGCAGUUAGCAGAGCGCCCGACAAACAGGAGAUGGCCGACUUCAGAAAUGGUGCUCGGACACUUGCCUGGCCCCUCAUAUGUGACCAUGACCACUUCUAACCUUGGUUUGUUACCAAGACCUUUUGGAAAGUCCAGAGAAGGGAGAUCAAAUUUGGAGAAGAAUCCUUGCUUCAGAUAAAACCCAAUGGUGGAGAGACACAGAAAUCAAGCCGUACACUAUGCAAGUUAGAAGAGACGUUUAGAAUUAGCGAGUCUCAUCAGCUCUUCUCUUUCACAGAUGGGGAAACACAAGCCCAGGGACGGAAGGAGGUGGAUACAAUGUCACAGAGCA